GACGAACGCUGGCGGCGUGCCUAAUACAUGCAAGUCGAGCGCAAUCUUGAGGAGCUUGCUCCUUAAGGUUAGCGGCGGACGGGUGAGUAACACGUGGGCAACCUGCCUGUAAGACUGGGAUAACACCGGGAAACCGGUGCUAAUACCGGAUAAUUCUUCACUUCUCAUGAGGUGAAGCUGAAAGUCGGUUUCGGCUGACACUUACAGAUGGGCCCGCGGCGCAUUAGCUAGUUGGUGAGGUAAUGGCUCACCAAGGCGACGAUGCGUAGCCGACCUGAGAGGGUGAUCGGCCACACUGGGACUGAGACACGGCUCAGACUCCUACGGGAGGCAGCAGUAGAGAAUCUUCCGCAAUGGACGAAAGUCUGACGGAGCAACGCCGCGUGAGUGAUGAAGGCCUUCGGGUCGUAAAACUCUGUUGUUAGGGAAGAACAAGUACCGGAGUAACUGCCGGUACCUUGACGGUACCUAACCAGAAAGCCACGGCUAACUACGUGCCAGCAGCCGCGGUAAUACGUAGGUGGCAAGCGUUGUCCGGAAUUAUUGGGCGUAAAGCGCGCGCAGGCGGUCCUUUAAGUCUGAUGUGAAAGCCCACGGCUCAACCGUGGAGGGUCAUUGGAAACUGGGGGACUUGAGUGCAGAAGAGGAAAGCGGAAUUCCACGUGUAGCGGUGAAAUGCGUAGAGAUGUGGAGGAACACCAGUGGCGAA
rnacentral:rRNA from 1 species